rnacentral:pre_miRNA from 1 species
AUUGUACUCCCUCCGUUCGGAAUUACUUGUCUCGGAAAUGGAUGUAUGUAGAACUAAAAUACGUCUAGAUACAUCCAUUUCCGCGACAAGUAAUUCCGAACGAAGGGAGUAUAUA